AUGCCGCCGCCGGCGGUUCGGCCUCACGGAGAGCGGCCGCCUGACGCGGGGGCGACGGCGGCGCGGCGCGCGGAGCGACAUCGAGCGCCGCCCGCUGGAGAUCGCUUCGAGGGGCGGCGGCGUGGGCCGGGCGGCGAGCGCCGCGGGCAGGGCGUGGGCCCUCCGGCCAGUUCAUCUGCCCGGACGCUGAAGGGCGUGAUCAGGAGGACGCGCUGCUGCGGCAGCGCCUCGUCCGCACCGGCCCGCGGCGCGGGUCGGCUCGUUCCCCGCCAACGCCGUCGAACGGCGUGCCUCGUGCCGCGCGGCCGGAGGUUUGGCCUCACGGCGAUUGGCGGGCCACGUCGGCUGCAUUUGGCCGCGCGGGGCGACGGGGAGCGCGUCGAUGGCCGCGGCGGCGCGGUGUGCAGAGCGACGGCGAGCGCCGCCGCUGAGGCUUGCUUCGAGGAGGCAGCGGCAUGGACCGACCGGCGAGCGCGGCGUACGGGGCGUGCCCCUCCUCUCCGUACCCAAGGUGACGGGGGCACUGCAACCCCACAGUCGCCCUCGGCAACCGUGGUGGCGGUGGCGGCUACUCGGACGCUCAAGAGGAUGUGGAGGGGGCGCUGCUGCGCCAGCUCCUGGGCCGCGCCGGCUCGUUCGACGUCGAAGCUUCCCCUGACACUGGAGGAUGUGAUAUCCAAAAACAAGAAAUCCAGGAGGCAGUCGAGCUACCAUUGA
rnacentral:rRNA from 1 species